rnacentral:rRNA from 1 species
UACGUAGGGGGCAAGCGUUGUCCGGAUUUAUUGGGCGUAAAGAGCUCGUAGGCGGUUUGGUAAGUCGGAUGUGAAAUCUCCGGGCUUAACUCGGAAAGGUCAACUGAUACUGUGCGACUAGAGUGCAGAAGGGGCAACUGGAAUUCUCGGUGUAGCGGUGAAAUGCGUAGAUAUCGAGAGGAACACCUGCGGCGAAGGCGGGUUGCUGGGCUGACACUGACGCUGAUGCGCGAAAGCCAGGGGAGCGAACGGG